ensembl:lncRNA
AAGAGAGUGAGGUUAGGGGCGGACAACGAAGAUGGCAACAGGAAGUUGUAAUUCAAACAUGCAUUGUAUAGCGCCAGGCUGUAUGAAUUGGCCCCCAAAAAUCCCUCUGUAAACUACCAUCGGCUUCCCAUGGACCUACAACUUUAGAAGUGGCUCCAUGUCCUGAAAAUUAAGGACAUGCCAGCUUGACCUAGCAGGAUCUGCAGACAGCACUUUGCGGAGGCAGAAUUCGCAAUGAAGGUCACUUUCGAUGAGGAAACUGGGAGUUUCCGAAUGGAAAGGAGUCAUAGGCCUACGUUGAAGCCCUCUGCUUGCGCCUCCAUUUGAAAUUGAGGGUUAUGGUGUAGGGGUUACCAACCGACCAUCAUGAACAUCACGGAUUUUUGGAGUCAAGCGAAAGCAACUGAAUGGAGGAGGCGACGUGAGUAAAUGCAAUGGAGCCUGAAGUAACGUUAACCGGUCAUGACUGUUGUUGACUAGGCUAGUGUUAGACACUGGACAACUUUAUUGCAACUCUAGCUGAAGGAUGACAUCUUCAUCCCUGAAAAUGUUUUCAUCCUGGAGGAGACUGUGCAGAAGGCAGAGGAAAGAACAGUUAGUACAGCAUGCCAAACUGACUCCUGGGUGCCAGUGUUCCCGUGCUGCGGUGGAGAAGAGGUCCACCGGGACCAUCACUAAAGAGCUCAGGGCCCAGCUAGAUUGCUCUCACAACCAUCAGUAUACAACCGGGUCCUGCCCCUAUACGCCACAGAUGGAGCUGAAUGAGAGUGAGAUCUGUGAAGACCAUAACUCGCUGUAUGAACCUGAGAGCUCAGAAUCACAAUCAUCACAGUCCGAGCCAAGAUAUACUAUCAAUCACUUUGGGGGAGCGGGUGGUUGUUGCGAAAAUGGAGAAAGAGCAGGCCAUUCAACAGCGAAUUCAAAGAUACACCCAUCCAUAAAGGGAAUCGGAGUGGAAUUGUUUUAACACAGUUUUUUUUUUUACCCGUUUCAAUGGAUGUGCUACCUUGUCCCAGUUCUGCUGUUUCAACUCUCUCUCUCUCAACCUAUGAAUGCCCAGCUACAAAAAGACAACUGACAUUUGCUCCUGAGGUGUUGAACUGUUGCACCCUCUAUAACCACAGUGGUUAUUAUUUUGAUGUAAAAAGGGAUUUUGUAAGUGGUAAUCAGCAGUAGAAACAAUAAAGUGUCUCCCUGCUCCUCUUUCAGUAAAAAGCUGAGGGAUGGGGCUGGAGAAAUGUAACCACUCUCAAAUUCAUAGACCGAGCGAUAGAUGCAAGGACUGACCAUCCAUGAAAUCAAAAUUGUAAUCAUGUUUCUAUGAUCUGUUUCCAUGACCAUGUAACCAGUUCGCUUUGGAUAAAGGCGUCUGCUAAAUGGCAUAUAUUAUUAAAGUCUACUUUGACUCUGCCAACUAGCUGCCCAGUGGUUACCAUUCCUUUCCAAUAGAUGGCAGCCAAAGCUAGUUCAAGUCACUACUCUAGCACAGGGACAUGGGAUUAAUGCUCACUGAAAGUAGUUUUAUUUUUUAUUGAACCUUUAUUUAACUAGGCAAGUCAUUUACAGUGACGGCUUACACCGGCCAAACCUGGACGGUGAGAUUUACCGGUUACUCUGCGCAAACCUCCACCCUCCAAAAAACCCAACAUGAACUCUGACAUUGUGGCUACCUUCUCCUUACUCAUCAUCUCCAGGUCUGACGCCAUUGAGAAAAUGGUAGGCGCGAACACCAUGGUUAUCGAAGGCUUGAAAAAGACUGGAGUUUGCAUGUGGUGAAAUCAAGGACGUGAAAAGGAGUGGCAGAAGUUGAAAAAAUAAGUUGUGGAAAAGAAUAACAAUAUCUACCAUAGACGUCUCACUGAUCUGGAACAAUACACAAGAGCCUGAGACUCUACGGCGUGCCAGAGACGGAGAAUGGGGAUGUGCGACGAGAGGCUAUCCGCAUCUGCCAAGAAGUUAUGCCUGCAGAGACUAACAAAGUUGGUGAUACCAUUAAUGUUGCGCAUCGCCUCAGCAAGAAGCAACAGCAAAACGAUUCAAGACCAAGCGGUAUCAUCAUCUUCACUGCCAGAUUCUACAGGGAUGCUGUCUGGAAAGCUGCUAGGAAGAACACCUUCCUUCAGAGCCAUGGUCUGCGUGUGGCAGGGCUGAAAUGCAGUGGAAAUGUUUUUGGGGGAUUCAGUUCAUUUGCAUGGCAAAGAGGGACUUUGCAAUUAAUUGCAAUUCAUCUGAUCACUGUUCAUAACAACAUCAUAUACUGUUAUACUGUUAUAAUAUCAUAACAGUUUAUGCAAAUUGCCAUCAUACAAACUGAGGCAUCAGACUUUGUGAAAAUUAAUAUUUGUGUCAUUCUCAAAACAUUUGUCCACGACUGUAUACCUUAGCAGUGCUUCCCUUCCUUCCUUUUUCUACAACCGUGUUUAAUAUUUAUUUAUUUUCCCUUUUGACUUUAACUAUUUGUACAUUGUUAUAGCACUGUACAUAGCAAUAAUAUGACAUUUCACAUGUCUCUAUUCCUUUGAAACUUUUGUGAGUGUAAUGUUGACUGAUCAUUUUUGAUUGUUUGUUUAUUUCACAUUUGUUUAUUAUCUAUUUAACUUACUUUGGCAAUGUAAACAUACACUACAUGUACAAAAGUAAGUGGACACCUUCUCGUAGAACAUUUAUUUCCAAAUUCAUGGGCAUUAAAAUUGAGUUUGUCCCCCCCUUUGCCGCUAUAUCAGCCUCCACUCUUUUGGGAAGGCUUUCCACAAGAUGUUGGAAUUGCUGUGAGGACUUGCUUCCAUUCAGCCACGAGCAAUUGUGAGUUCGGGCACUGAUGUUGGGUGAUUAGCCCUGGCUCGCAGCCGGCGUUCCAAUUCAUCCCAAAGGUGUUCGAUGGGGUUGAGGUCAGGGCUCUGCAGGCCAGUCAAGUUCUUUCACACCGAUCUCAACAAACCAUUUCUAUAUGGACUUCACUUUGUGCACAGGAGCAUUGUCAUUCUGAAACAAGAAAGGGCCUUCCACAAACUGUUGUCACAAAGUUGGAAGCACAGAAUCAUCUAGAAUGUUAUUGUACCCUAUGCUGUAGCGUGUCCUUUCUUUGCAUGUUUCUACACAAUGGUCUUCAUAGAAGAAAAUACACAAUACACAAGCGUUUUGCUACACCCGAAAUAACAUCUGCUAAACACGUGUAUGUGACCAAUACAAUUUGAUUUGAUUUGCCUUCACUGGAACUAAGAGGUCUAGCCCAAACCAUGAAAAAUAGCCCCAAACCAUUAUUCCUCCUCCACCAAACUUUACAGUUGGCACUAAUCCUUUGGGCAGGUAGCGUUCUCCUGGCAUCCGCCAAACAGAUUUGUCUGUUUGCCAGAUGGUAAAGACGGGAAAGCUUGAUUCAUCACUCCAGAGAAUGCGUUUCCACUUUCCAGAGUCCAAUGGCUACAAGCUUUACACCACUCCAACCGGCGCUUAGCAUUGCGCAUGGUGAUUUUAGGCUUGUGUGCAGCUGCUUGGCAAUGGAAACACAUUUCAUGAAGCUCCCGACGAACAGUUAUUGUGCGGAUGUUGCUUCCAGAGGCAGUUUGUGCUACGCGCUACGCACUCAGCGGUCCCGUUCUGUGAGCUUGUGUGGCCUAUCACUUCGCAGCUGAGCUGUUGUUGCUCCUAGAGGUUUACACAUCACAAUAAAAGCACUUACAGUUGACCAGAGCGGCUCUAGCAGGGCAGAAAUUUGAUGAACUGACUUGUUGGGAAGGUGGCUUGCUAUGACGGUGCCACAUUGAAUGUCACUGAGUUCUUCAGUAAGGCCAUUCUACUGUCAAUGUUUGUCUAUGGAGAUUGCAUGGAUGUGUGCUCAAUUUUAUACACCUGUCAGCAGUGGGUGUUGCUGAAAUAGCCGAAUCAACUCAUUUGAAGGGGUAUCCCCAUACUUUUGUAUAAAUGGUGUAUGUUUCU